AGAGUUUGAUCCUGGCUCAGGACGAACGCUGGCGGCGUGCUUAACACAUGCAAGUCGAACGGAAAGGUCUCUUCGGAGAUGCUCGAGUGGCGAACGGGUGAGUAACACGUGGGUGAUCUGCCCUGCACUUCGGGAUAAGCUUGGGAAACUGGGUCUAAUACCGGAUAGGACCACGGCAUGCAUGUGCUGUGGUGGAAAGUUUUUAACGGUGUGGGAUGGGCCCGCGGCCUAUCAGCUUGUUGGUGGGGUGAUGGCCUACCAAGGCGACGACGGGUAGCCGGCCUGAGAGGGUGUCCGGCCACACUGGGACUGAGAUACGGCCCAGACUCCUACGGGAGGCAGCAGUGGGGAAUAUUGCACAAUGGGCGCAAGCCUGAUGCAGCGACGCCGCGUGGGGGAUGACGGCCUUCGGGUUGUAAACCUCUUUCACCAUCGACGAAGGCCCGCUUUUGGUGGGUUGACGGUAGGUGGAGAAGAAGCACCGGCCAACUACGUGCCAGCAGCCGCGGUAAUAC
rnacentral:rRNA from 1 species